rnacentral:snRNA from 1 species
AGUUUUGCGCAGUGGCAGUAUCGUAGCCACUGAGGUUUAUCUCAGGCGCAAUUAUUGCUGAUUGAAAACUUUUCCCCUGUGAG